rnacentral:rRNA from 1 species
GACGAACGCUGGCGGCGUGCUUAACACAUGCAAGUCGAACGGAAAGGCCCUGCUUUUGUGGGGUGCUCGAGUGGCGAACGGGUGAGUAACACGUGAGUAACCUGCCCUUGACUUUGGGAUAACUUCAGGGAACUGGGGCUAAUACCGGAUAGGAGCUCCUGCUGCAUGGUGGGGGUUGGAAAGUUUCGGCGGUUGGGGAUGGACUCGCGGCUUAUCAGCUUGUUGGUGGGGUAGUGGCUUACCAAGGCUUUGACGGGUAGCCGGCCUGAGAGGGUGACCGGCCACAUUGGGACUGAGGUACGGCCCAGACUCCUACGGGAGGCAGCAGUGGGGAAUAUUGCACAAUGGGCGGAAGCCUGAUGCAGCAACGCCGCGUGCGGGAUGACGGCCUUCGGGUUGUAAACCGCUUUCGCCUGUGACGAAGCGUGAGUGACGGUAAUGGGUAAAGAAGCACCGGCUAACUACGUG